UUCGACAAGGUCCAAACCGGCGGUGACGGCGGCGGCGGCAGCGGGUUCAUGGGCGUCGUCGGGGGCCUGGCUCAGCAGUUUCUGAAGCAGAAGCUGGAGGCGCAGGACGAGAGCUACCUGCGGCCGGCGGCGGCGGCGGAGGUCUCGAGCUCUCAGGAGGUCUACGCCGGAGCGGCGAAGGGGGUGCUCCCGGACUGCGGGAUCCUGAUCAGCGGCUGCCAGACGGACCAGACCUCCGCGGAUGCGAGCCCGCCGGACGAUCCCAGCGAGGCCUACGGAGCUCUGAGCAACGC
rnacentral:lncRNA from 1 species